rnacentral:rRNA from 1 species
GUGGGGAAUCUUAGACAAUGGGCGCAAGCCUGAUCUAGCCAUGCCGCGUGAGCGAUGAAGGCCUUAGGGUUGUAAAGCUCUUUCGUGGGGGAAGAUAAUGACGGUACCUACAGAAGAAGCCCCGGCUAACUUCGUGCCAGCAGCCGCGGUAAUACGAAGGGGGCUAGCGUUGUUCGGAUUUACUGGGCGUAAAGCGCACGUAGGCGGAUUGGUCAGUUAGAGGUGAAAUCCCGAAGCUCAACUUCGGAACUGCCUUUAAUACUGCCAGUCUCGAGUCCGGAAGAGGUGAGUGGAACUCCUAGUGUAGAGGUGGAAUUCGUAGAUAUUAGGAAGAACACCAGUGGCGAAGGCGGCUCACUGGUCCGGUACUGACGCUGAGGUGCGAAAGCGUGGGGAGCAAACAGGAUUAGAAACCCGAGUAGUCC